rnacentral:rRNA from 1 species
CCCCUAGAUGUUCUGGGCCGCACGCGCGCUACACUGAACAGUUCAACAAGUCUUAACCUUGGCCGAUAGGUCUGGGUAAUCUUUGAACGCUGUUCGUGAUUGGGAUAGACCUUUGCAAUUAUGGGUCUUCAACGAGGAAUUCCUAGUAAACGCAAGUCAUCAGCUUGCAUUGAUUACGUCCCUGCCCUUUGUACACACCGCCCGUCGCUCCUACCGAUUGAAUGUUCCGGUGAAUACUUCGGACUGCGAGAUUUGCAGUCUCUGCGCUUCUUGCGGAAAGUUGAAUAAACCUUAACAUUUAGAGGAAGGAGAAGUCGUAACA